GGAGCCGGCCGGGUGGCCGCGGCACCGCGGGUACGAGGCGCGGCGUCGAGGAAAGUCCGGACUCCACAGGGCAGGACGCUGGGGAAAUCCCAGGCGGGGCAACCCGCGGAAAGUGCAACAGAGAGCAGACCGCCCGGGCACGGCUCGGGUAAGGGUGCAACGGUGAGGUAAGAGCUCACCAGCGCGCCGGGCGAUCGGCGCGGCUAGGCAAACCCCGUCCGGAGCAAGACCAAGCAGGGGGCAAGGGUGGCCCGCCCGCCUCGAAAGAGGGCCCCCGGGUAGGUCGCAGGAGGCGGACGGCAACGUCCGUCGCAGAGGGAUGGUCACCGCCGGCCGCGAGGCCGGUACAGAAUCCGGCUUACAGGCCGGCUCCGAGC
rnacentral:RNase_P_RNA from 1 species